AUGGUGUUCAGGGCGGUGUCCGCGCCGAUGCAGAAGUCGGAGCCUGGGACGUUGUUGGAGACAGUGGCGGGGAUCACCACAAAGGGUAGACAGCCUCUCUGCCUCUCGCCCAUGGACCGCUGAAUAUCCCUACACCCUCACAACCCUGCAUGCAUAAGUGGGUAUAAGACAAUAGAUGAAUGGAUAUUUUAUGUCUACUUGCAUUAAUAUUCUCAGCAAGCUGUGAUAUAGCUAAGCCUAAGAUUAUUAAUAUCUCUGGCAGAGAAAGAGGAAAUGAAACUGGCAAGUCUCAAAUGAUAAUAAAGCUAAAAGGAGGAUGAA